UACGUAGGUGGCAAGCGUUGUCCGGAAUUACUGGGUGUAAAGGGCGCGUAGGCGGGAAUGUAAGUCAGAUGUGAAAUACCAAGGCUCAACCUUGGAACUGCAUCUGAAACUACAUUUCUUGAGUGUCGGAGAGGAAAGCGGAAUUCCCCGUGUAGCGGUGAAAUGCGUAGAUAUGGGGAGGAACACCGGUGGCGAAGGCGGCUUUCUGGACGAUAACUGACGCUGAGGAGCGAAAGCGUGGGUAGCAAACAGG
rnacentral:rRNA from 1 species